rnacentral:lncRNA from 1 species
GUCAGUGGAAAGAAUUUGAACAUCACAGCAAACUAAGUGCAUGUAUCUUUUAUGCCUUCUGCCUAAAUUCCCUUGAAAAGAAAAAAGAUACUUUAAAAUGUAUAAAUCUAUAGUAAUGCUGAGCAGCAAGAAAUAGUGCCAGAAGUGUAAGAAAAAUAUUAAACAAUUCUUAACAAGAGAAAGCAGACAGGACUGGAUUGGCAAUCAGCAAGACUAAGAAAAGUCUCAUGAAGAUGUGGUGUUGGAAAGAGCUGCUGUGGAACUGGGGAUAUUGUGAGAUGUACCUCAGCAUCAUAAUCAGAAGGGUUCUUCAGGGCUCUAUGAGGCUUAUUUGAGAAAAUAUCUUUAGGGAAGCUGGGAAAACCAGCAUCUCUCCUCUUGUGCUAUUCUGCUAAGCUGAGUGCAGCCAUCACAUUGGCACACAAGCUAAGGCAGCCAGUCCUGGAGCCCUAAAGCCACCCAGUCCUGGAGCCCUAUAGGCCGGGCUAUUCAGCAGGUCAUCGAUGGUCAAGAGUGAAGAACUCUCUUCCAGGAGGACACCUCUCAGGAGAUAAACCAUGGUCAUGCCACUUCUGACAGCAUAUAGCAUUCCUCUGCCCAAAUCACAAAAGCUUCUAAAAUAUGGGAGACCCUCAGUAAUUCAACCAGUCAUUGAACACCUGAAGACUCUCUGCUGGGUCUUGGAAAGAAAGAGAUGUUGCUUGUCCUAAAGAAAAGCCCAGUUUACUGGAGAAAACAGGCAAAUUUCAGACAUGGAAGGUUACCUAACAGUAACUUACCCUGUUACACAAGAUAGGCAUCUCACACGAUGUGGCACUAACGCCCAGCAGGAGCUAAGAGUGGAGCACAGAAUUACUUGGGCACCCAGCAGGACACAGACCUUCUACCUCCAUAGAAGCUUCCAUGAACACUGCAGCAGCAGAAGAGAGGGCUGGGUGGUAUUACGGCAAUUAAGUGCUCCCAUCUAA